GACAACGUGUUCGGGCUUUUUCCCACGGUGCGGAAGUGAUUUUUCGCUCUCUGCGAUGGAUCUUGAUUGUUCUUUGGGUUUACACUACGUUUAUGAGCUGUAAUUUGUUGAUGGUCUGCAGCUUAUCUUUUGAAGUUAGGAAAAACAUGAAUUCUCGGGCAAGAACAAACAACUCCGGAGGCGCCGCCUUAGAAGAUGUAACACUGACUGCCAAGGUUUGCAGUUUCACUCCUGAGCCAGUAGAAGACCAAACCACCAGAAGGAAGAAACUCUAUAACACAUCCGAACGUCAGAGGGAAUGAACUCUGGCUACACCGCAUCUAACGAUUGUAACACUCAUCCGGAGGACUUGUGGCUUUCUUGAAAUCAGUGAGAUCAAGAACCCGCCAAUUCCGGACACAAUGUUUUACGAAUUGUGUGUUAGUAGGAGUUGCUCCUUACAACUGCUAUUUCACAAACAUUUAUUCCUUGAUAUAACCUGCCACCACUAGAAUUGCAGUCACUGAUUCACCAAAAAUAAAUCAAUCAUGUCGUUUUUGCUGAUCUUAACUUGAGGUGCAGCUCAUAUUUUUUUCAAUAUUUAGUGUUAGAAGUGUUUGGAGUCCUUAUUUAGAAAUUUGGUGUUUUUGUGAUCAGACAUUUGCCAAGAAAAUUAACUCUUAAAUCAAUUAGUCUAGUCUAUGGUAGAAUUAGUUUUAUUUUGCUUAAAGUAAUAGUUUCCAAAAACCAACUGACAAUAAGUGAGGACUUCCUAUAUUUUUAUGCUUAGGUUUGAUGAAGUGGAUAGUCCCAUAGCAGUAUAAUUGGAUAAAAGGGGGUAUGAUCUAAUGGUUAUAAACUGGGGUGAACUUAGCAAAGCCUGUUUAUUCAGGUUCUCUUUGGCAUCUCUGUGUCUUCGUUUAUUUCCUCCAAGUACAUUUUCUCCCCUCUGAAUUGACGGUCUUAUCACCUACUUUAAUUGGAAGAUCAGGUAGCUUUCAUGGCCCGCUUCACGGAACAAGGGCCCAGAGAAAAACGUUUCUGCUUCUGCUGUUUUCUCAAAUGCCGAGGUGUCGUAUUUUGGGAGUAGUGUGACCUGAACCCAGUCAAAAGACGUCCGAGUCUUUCUAAUCUCUGGGUCAUAGGGUCGCCUUUGGCCUAUGCAUUGUACGUAUACAGUAUGGCAUUUCGCAUGUCUGUCCACUUCUAGGCGCACAGUCCAACUGGCUUUGACUGGUCAGGAAGGCCAGGCCUGGAUCUGGGGUUGGUACUAUAGGUUAGAUGUUUUCAGGUUUUGAAGGAGAAACAGGUCCCUUAAGGAUGAGAGCGAAUCAGAAGAAGACAGACAAAAAAGGAUUUAGGAUUUGUUCCAGAAGCUCAUUUCUGGAUUGACUGUCGUACCAAGGUUUGGCGAACGGCGGCAAGCGCUUGCCAGUUUGUCGAAGAGUGGAGAGGUCAGUUGUGCCAAGGAGUGGAGAGGUCUAAGAACUCUCCAGGAGCACGGAGGGUUUAUGCAGUCAUAAAUCGCCUUGCUUCUGCAUACUUUUUAUUCCGUGGAGGAUUCCGCCCGGGCGAUGGCGCCAUAAAUGCAGGUGCGUCCUGGCUCUUUUCUCUUCCCAGUGCGCAUCUCGGCGACUCUCACCACCCGAGUCUCAGAGCCCGCGAAACGUAGCGUGCCAGGUUCUCCAUCCCGAGGCUGGGCGCGGGAACCUGCAGGGGCAGUAACUACGACCGGGACAAGCCGAUCUGCAAUUCCCCUCCUGUUUUCUCUGCCCCUUGGACUUAAAUUCCCACGGCGGCGUUUAGGGCUUUCGUUUUAUCUUUCUGCGUUAUGCUCGCGGUUUCCUGGCAACCUUUCCAAGCAGAAUCACCCCAUCACAGACCUUUCUCUGGGGGGCGGCCAGGCAGGACGGCUCCCUUAUAAACCCCGAUAGGUGGUUGUCGAGCGGCCGUCCGAGAGGGUGACCUGCAGCGGGAGAUCCCAGGCCCAGCACGGGACUUUCGAUAUAACAUUCAGUUUUCCUUCUCUCAGCGCAGUCAGGAAACAAUAUCCAGUAUAGCGAAUUCAAAAUUAAGUUCGACAAAAUAUGCUUCUUGGCACGACCGAUAAUAGUAACAGGUCAUAGAAAUAUUUUGGCCCACGUUGAGCGUUGGGGGGUGUAGCUCAGUGGUAGAGCGCGUGCUUAGCAUGCACGAGGCCCCGGGUUCAAUCCCCGGCACCUCCAGCUUCAUUUUUCUCCCGCCUUUUCUCCUAGAUGUGCCUUGUUUGCAAAAUCAUGUCUAUCAUGUCCACGACUCGCCUCAAUUUUUUUUCUUUUGUUUUUGUGGCACUUUCAUUCUCUCUCAAUUCUUCAAAUUCACAUGGAAACCAAGGAAAACAAGCUCCGUUUUGCUUUCAAUAUUGAUGCAUUUCUGCUCUAAGGCUUUGACACCACCCUGGGUGGCUGUGUCAAGAGAUGAAAGACAAAAUGAAAGAGGCCGCGGAAGCACAGACUGGCAGAAUUCCAAAACCCGAAAAACAAGCAAGGCACCAAAUUAACAAGCCCAAUCACAUUGGUUACAUUUCCCAGUAUUAUCGAAGAUCAAGCAAGAAAGAAAAAGACAGAAAACAAAUGCG
rnacentral:lncRNA from 1 species